CCAUUCACUCAUACUCUCUUAGAAAAACCCUAACACUCAGAAAUUCCUCUCACACUCUCAUGGCCGCAACGCGUUCUCUGCUUCUUGGUACUCCUCUUCACCUUCUCACUCUCUCAAAUCUCACCCACGCUCUUCGACCCUUCUUCCCCGCCACUCCACAUGUCACUUCCGCAACCGUCCUCUUCUCGGCGGAGCUCGAAUCCUUCAAUGCUUUCGCGACGGCGCGGUCUCCUCCUUGGACCUCCGAUGUGCUGGAAUCUCUUCUCUUUCGGAGUCCGACUCGAACUGUGCUUGCUGGAAUUGUGCUUUUAACUGCGCAGCAUCGCUGAAUCCAAACCAGAAACCCUACCAGGCGAAUUUGAAUCAUACCGAACGGAAACCCUAGUCGAAAUCAUUGGAGAGUGAUGGCUUCCCACAUUAGGUUAGCCUUUUGGGAUGGCAAGAGUAGUGCUGAGGAGCUGAAGAAGGUUUCUGCAGACCUUAGGUUAGUCAUUUGGAAGCAUAUGGCUGAGGCUGGAAUCCAGUAUAUUCCAACCAACACCUUCUCAUACUAUGAUCAAGUAUUGGACACAACAACCAUGCUUGGGGCAGUUCCUCCUAGAUAUAGUUGGAACUGUGGGGAGAUUGGCUUUGAUAUAUACUUCUCCAUGGUAAGAGGAAAUGCAUCUAAACCAGCUAUGGAAAUGACCAAGUGGUUUGACACCAACUAUUGACAGAUUCAAGCAAGAAUUUGGCUAGGAGAAGUAGUGCAGAUCAGAUUAGAUGACUAGCAACUCCUUAUUUCAGAACUACUUGCUCAUGGUUUGCAAAAGCAUUGUGUGCUUAUCGUCAAUACCUGGUGCCACUCACAUCGCCUUUCUUCCAUCUCAGGUUUGGGUUGGAACUUGCGGUUUCAUCUCCUCUAUAAGCCUCGACAUCUCAGGAUAGAGGGAGCAAUCUGCUUUGUGUUUCCCUUCUGUGGAUGUGAAGUUGCUUGAAUCCGGAGGUACAUCCCUAUCUGUUUAAGUUUGAAGCUACUGAAGGGUUUGACACAUGUGCUUGUGGGUAAAAUCAUUUUCAGCAACAACCUAUACUGAACUGCUACCAUAUGUUGCUUUAAAACGUUGCUUGCAUGAGUUAAGUAUAAGGAUUCAAGCCUUCAAAGUUUAUUUUAGCUUGAAAUCCUUGUUAUGUUUUAGAUUUAGUACCCUUUCCUUGUUUUGUCAAUUUACUUAUAUAUUGAUGAAUGCUUUAAUUUAAGCCUGAAUAUGCUUUUAAAUUGGGGAUUCAUUUACUGAACUGUUACUUAUUGGUUGCUUAUUGUGUGUUAGAAACAUGAAUGUGCCUGAAAAUAGGAAAUGGAUGGAUAAUAGAUUGGAUUGUGAGAAGCAUGUGACUGAAGAAUUCCUAUAAAUUUAUUAGCGAGGGAAUUAGCGUGGGAAUGUUAAUAAAAAUGUCAAGUGGUUAGCGACGGACACUUCCGUCGCAAAUA